AGAUGGUGGGUCAGCCGGGAAUGGAGAGUCUAGAAUAAUCUGUUGAAUUGUAUUUUCUAAAUACAGCCAGACAAAUAUAUAUUUUGUUCCUUAAGCUGUCCUAACCAUGUGAUAUUGAUACUCCUACACAUAUUAGGGGUCCAUGUUUCCUCCCAUUAGAUCUAGGUGUGCCUGUCCUAGAGGCAUGAUUUCCAAGGUUAGGUUAAAUAAGGAUAUAUACAGUCUCUUUCUGGCUUUGUUUCUUAAGACAUCCAUUUUAACCAACCAACUAUACUAAGAGGAAGCCCUAACCGUCUUGCACAGAAAAACAACAUGAAGAGCCCCCAUGAAGAAGAACUGACACACCCAAAGAGAAAGAAUAAUUGCAAUUUUUCCCUGUCAAAGAUGAAUGUAGCUUGGGAUCCUGAAUAUUAUCUUUGGACCAUCUGACUUUCAAGCCCUUUCCUAGGGUUUUGCUGCCUUGUUGUUGCUGGAUGAAAGAAUUGGGAAGAGUCAAAAAUGAAUAAGGCUAAUUAAUACUCUUGUGACAUUUGGAUGUUCUUUUUCUCAUAUCAAGGAGUCUAUAUUCCUAUAUUUUUAUAUGGAUUAGUGGCAAAUUUGGCCAGGUCUCUCCUGUCUUGCCCUAAUGAGGGAAUGAAUUUCCAUCUAUUUGCUAACAAUUUUUUUUAGACUUUAAGUCCAAUAAAGUGAGGCUUAAUAGUAUAUUGUUGCCUUUCCUCCAAUCAUGAAUAGGUAUUCCAUUGGCAGACUGUUCCCACACACAUUAUAAAUAACAA